rnacentral:rRNA from 1 species
UGGGGAAUAUUGCACAAUGGGCGCAAGCCUGAUGCAGCCAUGCCGCGUGUGUGAAGAAGGCCUUCGGGUUGUAAAGCACUUUCAGCGAGGAGGAAGGUGGUGAGCUUAAUACGCUCAUCAAUUGACGUUACUCGCAGAAGAAGCACCGGCUAACUCCGUGCCAGCAGCCGCGGUAAUACGGAGGGCGCAAGCGUUAAUCGGAAUUACUGGGCGUAAAGCGCACGCAGGCGGUUUGUUAAGUCAGAUGUGAAAUCCCCGGGCUCAACCUGGGAACUGCAUUUGAAACUGGCAAGCUAGAGUCUCGUAGAGGGGGGUAGAAUUCCAGGUGUAGCGGUGAAAUGCGUAGAGAUCUGGAGGAAUACCGGUGGCGAAGGCGGCCCCCCUGGACGAAGACUGACGCUCAGGUGCGAAAGCGUGGGGAGCAAACAGGAUUAGAUACCCCUGGUAGUCCACGCUGUAAACGAUGUCGAUUUUGGAGGUUGUGCCCUUGAGGCGUGGCUUCCGGAGCUAACGCGUUAAAUCGACCGCCUGGGGGAG